rnacentral:rRNA from 1 species
AGCGAACGCUGGCGGCAGGCUUAACACAUGCAAGUCGAGCGGGCCCUUUGGGGUCAGCGGGAUGCGGGUGAGUAACGCGUGGGAACGUGCCCCUCGGUUCGUAAUAACCCUGGGAAACUAGGGCUAAUACCGGAUGCGCCCUUAUGGGGAAAGGUUUACCGCCGAAGGAUCGGCCCGCGUCUGAUUAGCUUGUUGGUGAGGUAAGGGCUCACCAAGGCGACGAUCAGUAGCUGGUCUGAGAGGAUGAUCAGCCACACUGGGACUGAGCCACGGACCAGACUCCUACGGGAGGCAGCAGUGGGGAAUAUUGGACAAUGGGGGCAACCCUGAUCCAGCCAUGCCGCGUGAGUGAUGACGGCCUUAGGGUUGUAAAGCUAUUUUACCCGGGACGAUAAUGACGGUACCGGGUGAAUAAGCCCCGGCUAACUUCGUGCCAGCCGCCGCCGUAA